AUCAGACUGUAUUCUUUCUUAGCAAGAUUAAAAAUAGGCUACUGAGUGGUCUCUAUUCAGCCUAGUGCCUUUGCACAAAUAAUUCAACUUGAUAGGUGAUUUAUUAAGUGGUAAGUGUUAACAGUUCAUAAUGACAUGCCUAAUAAUUGUAUUAAAUAUAAUCUUUGUUUUUAGGAGGUCAAAGUAAACUGGGCAACAACACCAAGUAGCCAGAAAAAAGAUACUUCCAGUAAGUACUUCUGCUGCAUUUUACUGUGGAAGUCGACAAAACCCUGGCAGCCUUACCAGCUUACCUAAGGUUUUCCCUCCUUUAGUGUUGCCUGACUUCUUAAGUAUUUGAUUACCAAAUGCUUUGAUUUCAGAUCACUUCCAUGUGUUUGUUGGGGAUUUGAGUCCAGAAAUUACAACAGAAGAUAUCAAAUCAGCAUUUGCCCCCUUUGGUAAAAUAUCGUAAGUAUCGUAAGCAGUGUUAGACUCAGUAGUGGCAGGCAGGACUGGUGAGGAACAUGGAGUAGAGUCAUGGUUUUCUUUCUCUAGUUAGUGUGUUUUUCUUUGGUUUUUACUUUUCUUUUGGUUUGUUUUGUUUUUUGAGUAGAUGUUGUUGCAAAUGUUGAUGUCAUUUCAAUGUUUGGGGUCUUGUUUUCAGAUAAUCUUGUGUAUAAUAUGUUUAAAAAUUUUAAGUGAUUCUGUUUGUUACAUUUAAAGCAAAUAUUUAGAUGGUAAAACUUCUAGCUCUUUGUCAAAUGUUUUCAAAUAUUGAUGGUUAAGAAUAUUGGGUUAAUGAAAACUAAAUGUUAUCUUAAUUGUGUAUUAAAUUUUUAUUGAAGGAGUUUUUAAGUGGUGGGGGAUCUAGGCAAAUCCUUGUAUUUUAUGGUUAAAUUGCAAAUGUUCAUAUAUAAUGAUAAAUGCAUUUUAAGAUUUAACUUUGAGAAUAUAUAAUACAAUUGCAAUAUUAAAAUGUUUUCAUGUCUAGAUAAUAGAUAUGAGAUUAAAUUGACUUUUGUUAGUGACAUUUGAUUUUGCUAGUGAGGGGACAAAUAUGGGUUGAUUUUUUUUUUUUUAAAUAUGCUCAAAUUUUGUUAUUUGAUUAAAUAUAUUGGAAAAUUAAAGAUGGUUGCAAGUUCUAUAAAAUGUCAUAAUUUUGAUUAAAAUGAAUUGGUUAUAUAUUUGUCGAUUUAAAUUAAAUGUAUAACUACAGAAAUGUUUUAAGAACAACAACUUUUCUAUUAACUUAUAACUUGUUGUUCUAUAGAUUUAACUUAUUGUAAGAAAGAUUUAAUUCUUAAUUUUCUAUUUUGAUAUUUGCUUUGCUUUUUAAUCUAAAUGUGGUAAGUAAUACUGUUGUAAAAUUAGUGUAAAAUGAUACAGGUUGCUGUUUUUGAUCUUUAUUUAUACCUGAGACCUGCAGUUUUUCUACAGUCCAAGUCACAAUUAAAAGUAAUAGCAUUCUGGUUAUUUUGCAGAAUUGCUCAUAAGAAUGGACAGGAUCUUGAAGGCUAACUGCAAGGAACUGUGCACACUGGAACUCAGUUGUAGAUUUUUUUUCUCAUUUCUAUUUAUUCUUAUUAUACAUUAUUUAUAUAUACAUAUUUUAGUAUUUACAUUUUAACAUUCUAUAUUCAGUGGAGUUCUAUAUUUCCAAUCAUUUUAACUUACUCACUAAAAUUUCUGUGUAAAUUUGUUGUUUUCGUACUGGUGUGCUUAGCGUUGUUGUUAGUUUUUUAUUCUCCUUUCUUAAAUUUCUGAAAAUGUCAAUUUUUCAAAAUUUACAGCUGCCCAAACUCCAAAAUGAUGAUAGAGAAUUGACC
rnacentral:lncRNA from 1 species